rnacentral:misc_RNA from 1 species
GAGGGGGAAAACUACAGAGGCACGCAUUCGACCCCGCUCCGCGUGCAGGUAUUCGAAGCCUUCUCUACUGGUAUAACCUCUGUGCAGUAGCGAGCCCCACCGUCCCCUCUCCCAGUGCGCAGAAAGCACAUGGAUAAGUUGCUCGCGUCUCUGCCUGUUUAGGUGUUUUUUCGCUCAUGACGACGACGGCAACUCUCACGCGUCAACCACGCCUCCUCACACUCGCACAACCUCUCUGUGCGAUAUCUAUGUCGACUCCCACCCGCACUGGGGGCGACGCGUGCCAGCCGCGGGUUUAUCUCAAGGUGAGCCGCAAGCGAUGCCGUGAUGGGUUUGUUGAAGAGGCGGCACCGCCCACUCUCGUACGGGUGCAGUGGGACAGCGCGGAAAUGGGCCCCUUGCCGCCAGUCCUGCACGCUACUCUUUCCUGUCGCACCAAGUUUAUCUUUCGCCGUCUACGUCACUUGGGCGCGGAGCAGUCGACGGGAAUGGCAAAGGCGCUGAUGCCGCAGGUUUCUACGAAUCGGCAGACGCGACCGUUCCGCUCGCCAGUGGAGCGUGUCACCGCGAGUGGGCAGUGCGUGGUAAUCGAGUGCGGUGAUGGUGUCUCUCGCGUAGACGACGGUGCUGCUGUGGUGGAGCUCUUUACUUUGGAUUCUGAGGCGACGGAGGAGGAUACCAUGGUGGAGGCAUUUGGCGAGUUCGCCAUAACGGAAGACGAUCUCGUCGGAUGCACUCGAAGCAGUCUGAAGCGUGGCAGAGUCGAGGAAGACGAGGAUCUCCCCUGCUACUUCCUCGCGCCACGGCGCUGCACCUGCAGCGUUGGCGGCCACAGCAGUGCGGAUGCUAAUUUGGUCUCGGCGUCUCCCUCGCGCUGGGGUGCGGUGGAAACGGAUGCUGACGGAGCAAUGUGGCGGCUCCUGCAGGAAUACGAUGAGCUGUUGUGCGUGGAGGCCAUAGGUGAUGCUACGGAGGACCUCUACUGUUACCCAGAUCACCGUAAAGACGACGAGUUCGAUAGCAACGCUGAGGACUUUUCGGGUAAUGACUAUCCGGACGACGCCGAUGGCCGGAGUGGUGAGUCCGCGGAAAGGGCGGAGGACGAGGCGUCCGGCUCUUCCACAGGCCGGCGGCGAGGCCGCUUGGCAUCGCGCAGCACAUAUGGCAUGCUCUGCGAAGAGGGCUACAGUGAGCGAAGUCUCAGCAGCGGGUGGAACAGCGACGAUUAAGAUAGGAGUUGCAGUGCUUUCUUUUCGUUUCUCUUCGGCUCGUUGCGUAUUCGCCGUGCGCAGCAUCUGCUGCUUCUCACAUCCAUCUUUCGACGAACAGAAAUGGAACACACAACGGCAAGUUACAGAAUCCGUGCGGGCAGCGGUGAAGUAGGACAACAUUUUGCAUCGGAGUACCUCGGUCACCCGCAUGUGCCGCUUGAGGCGCUUGAGUGGUAGAUGCGGAUAGAGUAGGGAGGGACCACGAUGGCGAUACAGAAAAUCUCUUCCGAACCCUCUGCGUCUCCCCUUUCCGCUUCUGCUUCGUGUGUGUGUGUGUUUAAUUGCACGUGUGCAUCCGCAGCCGACACGCGUGGCGCCCAUUGUUUGUGUGGCACUCGAGCGCUCGCUCGUUUUUUAUCCUUUUAUAUUCCAUUCUCGUAUCUCCCUGUACCUUCUCUAUUCUGACCGCGCACAUACAUCUGCACCUGUGUACAUAUAUAUACGUGUAUGUAUGCGUGUGUGUGUAG